rnacentral:rRNA from 1 species
CCUACGGGGCGCUGCAGUGAGGAAUAUUGGUCAAUGGACGAGAGUCUGAACCAGCCAAGUAGCGUGAAGGAUGACUGCCCUAUGGGUUGUAAACUUCUUUUAUAUGGGAAUAAAAUGUUCCACGUGUGGGAUUUUGUAUGUACCAUAUGAAUAAGGAUCGGCUAACUCCGUGCCAGCAGCCGCGGUAAUACGGAGGAUCCGAGCGUUAUCCGGAUUUAUUGGGUUUAAAGGGAGCGUAGGUGGAUUGUUAAGUCAGUUGUGAAAGUUUGCGGCUCAACCGUAAAAUUGCAGUUGAAACUGGCAGUCUUGAGGACAGUAGAGGUGGGCGGAAUUCGUGGUGUAGCGGUGAAAUGCUUAGAUAUCACGAAGAACUCCGAUUGCGAAGGCAGUUCACUGGACUGCAACUGACACUGAGGCUCGAAAGUGUGGGUAUCAAACAGGAUUAGAUACCCCAGUAGUC